rnacentral:misc_RNA from 1 species
CCAACAGUUUUUCGGGGCCGCCCACCUCAGGCCCCCCCUCCGUUCCUUUUCCUGGCUCCCCCGCACCUUCAAAUGCCUCUACUCCAGGCCCGGGAGGCCACUCUCCCUUUCCUGGGGGACCUGGUGGGGGUCCCCCUGUUAGUAUGGCAGCCUCCAACAUGGCUGGACCAGGCCCAUCACCUAUGCCCUUUCCCUGUUCCUCUAACUACAGCAGUCCCACACCCACUGGACCCCACAUGAACGGCCCUAACACCACCAUGGGCAUGUUGGGACAGCAACAACAGGCUCAGUUAAUUAAUGGGCCACCUGGUCAUCCUGGACCAUUCCCAGGUCCUGGAGGUCCAGGGCCUGGAUUUACAGGCCCUGGAGGACCAUUUGGCCCUGGUGGUCCACCAUUUGGACCAGGGGGUCCACCUGGGGGCCCUCCCAUGCAUGGUCCUAUGCACGGCCCCAUGCACGGUCCUGGCCCUCACCCAAUGAUGGGUCAACUUGGCCCGAUGGACCGGAUAGAUCAAGGUUGUUUUUGUUGUUCCAGACGGCACACCCCGUACUUCGGCCAGCCCGACUACCGCCUCUACGAGCUCAACAAGAGACUACAGCAGCGCUCUGAGGAGUCGGACAACUUGUGGUGGGAUGCCUUUGCCACGGAGUUUUUCGAGGAUGACGCAACCCUUACUCUCACCUUCUGCCUUGAGGAUGGGCCCAAGAGAUACACUAUUGGAAGAACCCUCAUUCCUCGGUACUUUAGAAGCAUAUUUGAAGGUGGUGUUACGGAGCUUUAUUAUUCCCUUAAACAUCCCAAAGAGUCGUUCCACAACACCUCCAUCACCCUCGACUGUGACCAGUGCACGAUGGUUACCCACCACGGGAAGCCUAUGUACACCAAGGUCUGUACAGAUGGUAGACUUAUAUUAGAGUUCACAUUUGAUGACCUGAUGCGCAUCAAGUCAUGGCAUUUUGCCGUCCGUGCCCACCGUGAGCUUAUUCCUCGGUCUGUGGUGGCGAUGCAUUCCCAACAGGACCCGGGUAUGGUAGAAACGUUAAGCAAAAACAUCACGCGGCAGGGCAUCACUAACCACACCCUAAACUACCUCAGGUUAUGUGUGAUUUUGGAGCCGAUGCAGGAGCUCAUGUCACGCCACAAAGCUUAUGCGCUCUCGCCCAGAGACUGCCUCAAGACCACGCUGUUCCAGAAGUGGCAAAGAAUGGUUGCACCUCCAGGUGCAGCUAAUCAAGCAAAUGGUAAAAAUGGUGCCGAUGGAGAAACGCAGCGUGCUCCUAAUAAACGGCGGAAACGGAAAGGCUCGCAAUCGGGCCAAAAUGCAACUGCGAAUUCUACUGGCUCAAGCAAGAAAAGAUCACCAGGUCCAAACUUCAGUCUGGCUACUCAAGUCUCCAUUAGGUUGCCUGUAAACCAGGACGCGUUCAGCGAGUAGGCACGGCUGCGGCUUAAGCGCACAAAUUCCGGAGGCCCGCGAUUUGUGUGGUAAUGGAUUAUGCGGAUUCGGAGUCACGCAGCAGGAUGUGAUGGUGGUUGGCGAGCCGUCCCUGAUGGGUGGCGAGUUUGGAGAUGAAGACGAACGGCUGAUAACCCGGCUAGAGAACACCC